AAGACUUGGUCCGGGGUCAGCAGGGGGUUGGGCAGGCGUCCCAGCAGAGCCGCUUGGGUCUGCGCCACCCAGAACGGCAGCUUGAUC
rnacentral:tRNA from 1 species